UGAGGAAUAUUGGUCAAUGGGCGAGAGCCUGAACCAGCCACGUCGCGUGAAGGAAGACUGACCUUACGGUUUGUAAACUUCUUUUGUAGAGGGUUAAUUGCAGAUACGUGUAUUUGCGUGAAAGUACUCUACGAAUAAGCAUCGGCUAACUCCGUGCCAGCAGCCGCGGUAAUACGGGGGAUGCGAGCGUUAUCCGGAAUUAUUGGGUUUAAAGGGUGCGCAGGUGGCUAAUCAGGUCAGUGGUGAAAAGCUAUGGCUCAACCAUGGUCUUGCCAUUGAAACCGUAUAGCUAGAGAGGAGACGAGGUAGGCGGAAUGUGUGGUGUAGCGGUGAAAUGCAUAGAUAUGACACAGAACUCCGAUUGCGAAGGCAGCUUACCAGGCUUUAUCUGACACUUAGGCACGACAGCGUGGGGAUCAAACAGG
rnacentral:rRNA from 1 species